GCUUCAUUAUGCACCAGCGGAUUCACACCCGAGAGAAACCGUACUGCUGCUCUCAGUGUGGGAAGAGUUUCACCUGUGCAGGAGGUCUUAAAGUACACCAAAGAAUCCAUACUGGAGAGAAGCCUUACAGCUGCCCAGAAUGUGGGAAGUGUUUUACUGCUUCUAACGCCUUCAAAUAUCAUUUGCGAAUUCAUACAGGGGAGCGGCCUUACCCCUGCCUUGAUUGUGGAAAGAGCUUCAACCAGUCAUGCAACCUGACGACACACAAGCUAACACACACUGGAGUGAAGCCUUAUAGCUGUGAUCAGUGUGGGAAGAGCUUCAAUCAGGCAGUCCACCUGACGACACACAAGCUAACACACACUGGAGUGAAGCCUUACAGCUGUGAUCAGUGUGGAAAGCGCUUGCUGUAGCUUCCACCCUGAAUAGACACCAGGGGACUCUCCUAACCGUCGCGCUCUCAGUGGGAGGGGCUUAUCACGUUGCUGACGUGACAGAGAAGACUCUCUCCAGAUCAGAACAUCUCAAUAAACACCAGCAGAGACGUACAGGGAAGAAACCUCACUGCUGCUCUGACUGUCGGAAGAGUUUCACAAGCCAGAGUGGCUUCAUUAUUCACCAGCGGAUUCACACCCGAGAGAAAUCGUAUUGAUGCUUUCAGUCUGGGAAGAGUUUCACCUGUCCAGGAAGUCUUAAAGUACAACAAAGAAUCCGUACAGGAGAGAACCCUUACAGAUGCUCAGAGUGUGGGAAGAGUUUCCCUACUUCUCAAACCUUAAAAUUGCAUCUGAGAAUUCAUACAGGGGAGAGGCCUUACCCCUGCCUUGAUUGUGGGAAAGCCUUGCUUAUACACUGGAGUGAAGCCUUAUAGCUGUGAUCAGUGUGGGAAGAGCUUCAAUCAGUCAGGCCACCUGACAAAACACAAGCUAACACACACACAGGAGAAGCCUUAUAGCUGUGAUAAGUGUGGGAAGAGUUAUGCUGUAGCUUCCAUCCUGAAUAGACACCACACUGGAGAGACACCUUGGAUAUAUGUGGGAAGAGCUUUGCUAAUUUUAGGACCAAUGAGACAACACCAAAAAGCACAAACAUGGCUUAUUUCAUCUCCCAUCUAUCCAACACCAGUUCCAGAUUCCUAAAUAAAGGAUCAGUAUAAAGCAUCUAGUUAAGUCAUAUCCAUCUCCCAUUCUUAAACAGUUGCCUCAGUCUGAUCACCAUGGUAACCUCUGUGGAGCAUAAUAUGCAGCUCUGAUCUAGGAUCAGGUCUCCCCUGUGUCUAUGUAAUAUCACACAUUGAUCUAAAUGGAUAAAUGUUAUCAUAGGAAAUGUCAUAGUGAACCUGUGGGGGGUUGAUAAUUGUAUCUUCUUUCAUAUACUCAUGAUACUAUUAUUAUUAAAUGUCAUUAUGUAGAAUAAUUGAUCAAAACAUUCAAUCCAUUAUCUUCUGAACAAGAUGUUAUCACUUUAUAUUUUUAUAAUAAUAUCUAAAUAGAUUAAAAUGCUCCUUUUAAAAUUAUCAAUAAUACAUUGGAUAAUAAUAUCCAUGAGGUCCAGGUAAUAACUAUGCAUACUGUCUCUUGUAACAAUGGUUAAUGUAAUAACUUUUAGAUUUAUGUAAUAAAACUGGUAAAUGUAAUGUCAUGUUGGUUAAUAUGAUAAAAUGUUGAAUUGUAGUAAUAAAUUACUCCGUUUAAUGUAAUAAGUUA